GACGAACGCUGGCGGCGUGCUUAACACAUGCAAGUCGAACGGAAAGGCCCUGCUUUUGUGGGGUGCUCGAGUGGCGAACGGGUGAGUAACACGUGAGUAACAUGCCCUUGUCUUUGGGAUAACUUCAGGAAACUGGGGCUAAUACCGGAUAGGAGCUCCUGCUGCAUGGGGGGGGUUGGAAAGUGUCGGCGGUUGGGGAUGGACUCGCGGCUUAUCAGCUUGUUGGUGGGGUAGGGGCUUACCAAGGCUUCGACGGCUAGGCGGCCUGAGAGGUUGGCCGGCCUCCUUGGUACUGCGAUACGGCCCAGACUCCUACGGGAGGCAGCAGUGGGGAAUAUUGCACAAUGGGCGCACGCCUGAUGCAGCAGCGCCGCGUGCGGAAUGACGGCCUUCGGGUUGUAAACCGCUUUCGCCUGUGACGAAGCGUGAGUGACGGUAAUGGGUAAAGAAGCACCGGCUAACUACGUG
rnacentral:rRNA from 1 species